UCUACAUCAUGGAUACACUUAACUUUUUUAUUAUAUCCACUAACUUUUUACAUUAAGCUGAGAAAUGUCCCUCAUGAAAUAUUGCAUUAUUUUUUCCUGAUAUGUGAAGGUAAUCCGGGCAGAUUUCCGGGUUUUGUAACUGGGCUUUGCGUGUUAUAUCCAAUAGGAUGCGUCUAAUUGUAUCACGUGAUUUAGAACCCCCCUAAUAGUUGGUCCAAUCACGUGACCUGGACUAAUUGAAGUGAUUUGUUUGUAAUAGUGCAGCAGGUGGUUUUCAUGGCAAAAUAUUAUCAUGAAUUUCGAUUAUAAACAUGAAAAAUGGAGCCCAAAAGUGAAGAGAAAAGAGGGAAAAGGAAUUGGACAGCACAGAACUCGACUUUUUUAAUUGAUUAAUUAAUUUAUUUAAAUAUUUGGUCCUUCUGGUACGUCGUCUGGAGGAAGUCUGACUGCUCCAGGUUCCCGGUUCGAUCCUGAUCUCAGGAUACUGUUUGUAUGGAGUUUCACAUGUUCACCUCGUCUGCGUGGGUUUCCUCUGGGUUCUCCAGUCUCCCAAAAACAUACCAGUAGAUGAACAGGCUAUGCUAAAUUGCUCCAAGGGUAUAAGGUUCCUGUCAGCAGAAUGCUGAACACUCCUCCUGCAGGACUCACGCCUGUUACCGUCUCCAGAGACCUGCAGCACCAUCGCAAAACCAUUCAUCAUCUGCUAAGUGGCUUUGAGUGUGUUUGAGUGCAGAGCUCAUGUGUGUUUGGAACGUUGCCAUGUCUGAUACUUUACCUCAUUCCUGCUGCCAAAUAAUGAGCAAUGAAUUGAUUGAAUGAAUAGGUGUGCUGAUGUACAUUGACAUUACAAAAUAUAAUCCCACUUUUGUCUUUCAUUUAGGAAACACUACCCUUGUAACAGUUACAACAUGUAUUAGGAAAUACUCAUGUAGUUCCUUCUGUUAAUGUUUUUCUAAUUUUUUUUUUAACAAAGCUUCUCUUUCUUCUCUCAGACUACCUUAGAAGAGUCAUUUCACUGCAUCUAAAUAGAUGGACAUGAUCUCAGAAGCGUGACAGUAAAUGUGUACAUGAUGACUUUGUUAAGGCUGUUUGUAAGUGCUGCUCCUCACACGGGGAACCAGUAAGUUAGUGCUGCAGGAAAAUGGUUAUUUAACAAGGCUUACAGCACAACACCUCCAGACUGGUGAAGAGUAACACUCUACAUGUUAAAUAUUUUGGUUUAAUAGGUUACAUACCUAUUCAUGAAAUAAUUUUUUUUUCCCCUAAGCAGAACUUUCUAGUCUAAUCUCUAAUCCUGUAAGAGUGUCACUGAACACUGGAAUGUUGAGGAGAACAAACUGUAUGCCAAAGGCUAGUUUUAUGUCCCUGGAUGUAUUUUGACUUCCUGUUUGUCUCUCUCUACCAUGCAUUUUUUGGAUAUCCCAGAAGAGAACCAGAUUCAACACAGGGAUUGGCAGAUCAGGAAUGAUGUCAUUACCUUAACAUGUAUAAAAGGGAGAAUGUCGACAACAGGUUUCCACUCAUUAUUGUCUGUCCCAUAUAUCGGCCGAAGUUUGCAUAUUCCAGCUUUACGCUAGUUUUUGUACUUUGUAUACCACAGGUCUAGCGAACUGUAAAUUGUGUAUGUAAACUGUAUUCACAUCUGUACUUGAUACACUUUAUCAGCUUGUGUUAAUUAUACAACUAAAAAUGUGGCAUCAAGUUGUAACAUUUAUAAACCUUGCAUAAACAUCUUGAGAAAUGGGGAAAAAGCUUGACAGAUUGAGAGCUGCAGUGUCCAGAAAUUGUUUUAGUAAUCUGAAAAUUUCAGCCACCCUCAUAGUGCACUGUGGGUAAUAUACACUAAAUGGCCAAAAGUUUGUGGACACCUGACCAUCACAUCCAUACUGUAUAGGUUUUUUGUAUGCUGUAGCAUUAUAAUUUCCCUUUCUUGGAACUAAGGGACCGCAACCUGGUCCAGCAUUACAAUGCCCCUGUGCACAAAGUGAAGUCCUCAACCCCACUGAACACCUUUGGGAUGAACUGGCACUUUGGCGACUACACCCCAUGCCUCCUAGCAUGACAUAAGUGCCUAGCCUAACUAAUGCUGAUGUGGCUGAAUGAGAAAAUCCUCACAGCCACACUACAAAAUCUAGUGGGAAGCCUUCACAGAAGAGUGGAGGUUAUUAUAACAGCAAAGGGGAAUAAGUUUGGGAUGUUCAGCAAGCACAAGUGAUGGUCAGGGGUACACAAACUUCUGGCCAUAUAGGGUCCCUUGAAAACAAAAUGCGUUAUAGCAUUUAUUUAUUUAUACAUGGCUAACGUUAUAAUAAGCACAGUAACCAGAGACGAUUUAUAGCUAAAUCUGCUGAACACAUAACCAUGACUUUGUACUUACAUGUUGCUCUGACAGAGAGACUCGAUACAUAUGGAGGCCUUCACACUGUCUUUUUGUCGUGCCUGGGUCCUUUUCUGAGUCUCACUGGAUUCUGAAAAAACACAAUGUAAUGAGGGAUGCGUUGUAGUGGGUGGAUGCUGGGUGUAAAGAACACACCCUGUUCCCCUGAGCUUUAUCUGUCACUGCUGAAUAAAUAAAUGAUGCAACCACGCUGCAGGGACUGCACGAGCUUUAACAUGCAGAAUGAUACAAUGAUUGUGGUUGGAGGCAGAAUGUGAAAUAUUCUCAGUAUGAAGACCAUACAGUUUAAUAUCAGAGUUGCCAGUACAUCACAGUCAUAGAUGAAAAGCUCUUUAGUAAUUGUACUUCACUGCUUUACAUUAUUUUAGGUCGUUUAUAUUUUACCUCGGAAUAAUUUUAAAUUAGUAUGAUUACUCAAAUAACAUUUCGUUAAAAAUGUAUUCAGUCAAAUAUUUUUCUACCAAUCCAAUUUGUACAACUUUAUUUCUUAACUACACUUAAAACAUCCAUUCAAAUCCAUACUGACUUUAUACCCUAAAGUUCACGGAGAAAAAACCAAAAAAAAUCUAUAUUCAUAUGAAUUAAGUCAUAAGAAAAGCUAUGUUAAUGCCGUCCCUAACCCUUAACCUUCAUAACUGUUCAUAGGAACAGAAGUUGAAGAAAAAAAAAAAAACAUGCCCCUAAAUCUUACCUUUCAUAACUGUUUAUACAAAUUAAGCUAUAAGAAAAGUUACAAAUGUAAACUCCGCCCCAACCCUUAACCGUGGUACCUGUUCAUACGGAUUAAGUCAGAAAAAAAGAUACAAUCGCUAACCCCGCCCUCAAUUCAUAUUAACAGUUACAAAACUUGAUGGUUAAGGGUGGGACUAGUGGUUAUAACUUUUCUUCUGACUUAAUUCACAUGAACAGUUAAGAAAAGGUACAAAUUCUAACCCCACCCCUAAGUCUUACCUUAAGAUUUUGCCAUAAUACACCACACUUUCACUGAAGUAUAAUUUUUCCGUUUAGAGUUAAACGCUUAUGCACAUCAUAAAGCAUGUUUUAUGUUCAUAACUGUCUUGUUUCUUUCAAAAUGAUGAUUAUGUGACUACACAGCAGACAUCAGCCUAAAACCACACAGCCCUACAUCAUUGUGUAAUGUGUGCAUUGUG